rnacentral:rRNA from 1 species
AGAGUUUGAUCAUGGCUCAGGACGAACGCUGGCGACGUGCUUAACACAUGCAAGUCGAACGGAAAGGCCCUUCGGGGUACUCGAGUGGCGAACGGGUGAGUAACACGUGGGUGAUCUGCCCUGCACUCUGGGAUAAGCCUGGGAAACUGGGUCUAAUACCGGAUAGGACCGCAUGCUUCAUGGUGUGUGGUGCAAAGCUUUUGCGGUGUGGGAUGAGCCCGCGGCCUAUCAGCUUGUUGGUGGGGUAAUGGCCUACCAAGGCGACGACGGGUAGCCGGCCUGAGAGGGUGACCGGCCACACUGGGACUGAGAUACGGCCCAGACUCCUACGGGAGGCAGCAGUGGGGAAUAUUGCACAAUGGGCGCAAGCCUGAUGCAGCGACGCCGCGUGAGGGAUGACGGCCUUCGGGUUGUAAACCUCUUUCAGUAGGGACGAAGCGAAAGUGACGGUACCUACAGAAGAAGGACCGGCCAACUACGUGCCAGCAGCCGCGGUAAUACGUAGGGUCCGAGCGUUGUCCGGAAUUACUGGGCGUAAAGAGCUCGUAGGUGGUUUGUCGCGUUGUUCGUGAAAACUCACAGCUUAACUGUGGGCGUGCGGGCGAUACGGGCAGACUAGAGUACUGCAGGGGAGACUGGAAUUCCUGGUGUAGCGGUGGAAUGCGCAGAUAUCAGGAGGAACACCGGUGGCGAAGGCGGGUCUCUGGGCAGUAACUGACGCUGAGGAGCGAAAGCGUGGGGAGCGAACAGGAUUAGAUACCCUGGUAGUCCAA